ACGUGCAAAGAUAAAAACACAGUUCUGGUUGGUAGUCCAGACUCAGCAUCUUGUUGUCAGUAAUCUACCUCCUAAGGCUGUCUGUCCAUUUUUUGCUAAGAUAUU
rnacentral:ncRNA from 1 species